AUGGGGCAGUAAGGGUAUGAUUAUUAGCACUUUCCUUAAAGAAAAUGAGUUUCUAUGACCUAUGAAACACACAAAUGGUUAAGGAAUUGACACCUACUUCAUGUUAUUUAUCCAUAAUUUUCA
rnacentral:ncRNA from 1 species